UACGGAGGAUCCAAGCGUUAUCCGGAAUCAUUGGGUUUAAAGGGUCCGUAGGCGGUUUUGUAAGUCAGUGGUGAAAGCCCAUCGCUCAACGGUGGAACGGCCAUUGAUACUGCAAGACUUGAAUUAUUGGGAAGUAACUAGAAUAUGUAGUGUAGCGGUGAAAUGCUUAGAGAUUACAUGGAAUACCAAUUGCGAAGGCAGGUUACUACCAAUAUAUUGACGCUAAUGGACGAAAGCGUGGG
rnacentral:rRNA from 1 species